AUCUCUCCCUUCCCUCUUCUCUCUCCCCUCACCUCUCCUCCCUUCCCUCGCCUCGCUCCUCUCUGUCCCGACCGAGCAGCAACGGCUGAGCCCUGGCCGAGCCGCCCUCCCCCGAUGUGCCUGCACCGACCCUAGUGCCACUGCCACGCCCGGAAGUGGCUCGAUGCCCAGAGGUUUUUACGCGGCGCGCGGCGGGUCAUCUCACAGUCCCAUAUGCAAGAGAGUCCGGAGCGGAGGCCGGGCGGGACCGCGGGAGGGGGCGGCCGGGGUCCGGUCCGGGGAGGCGGGGACCAGGGCAAUGCACAACGCGCCGGCAGUGACCAGUAGCCCACUAUGGCACCAGCUCCUCGCAUCGCAUCUCCCCUGCUAGGCCUCCUCGUCCCGGCGAAGUGUUGAAGAUGGCUUUGGUGACGGAAAUGUCUUGUUAGCAUCAAGUAAGUGGCGACAUCACAACCCCUACAAGCUUGUGCCUUAAAACAAGAGGAUACAAGAAGUUGGAGUGCUUUUAUGAAGGCUUUUGCGAAUCACUUGAAGCGUUAGUACUUUUGUGAAUGAUUUUGUAAAGUGUUUGCAAAUAUGUGCAAAACAUAAUAACAUGUGUAGGUUUUGUGAAUGAUUUUGUUGUGGUGCUUGUUGAUGGUUUAUGUGAUGUGGAUCUAUCAUUAUGCAAUACUAAUUAAAUUUGU